rnacentral:tRNA from 4 species
AGGUCCGUAGGUUAAUGGUAGACCAGGGGUCUCCAAAACCCCUAGUGGAGGUUCGAUUCCUCCCGGACCUGCAA